rnacentral:piRNA from 1 species
UAACUUCUGUGUUGAUACGUGGAGAGG